GAUGAACGCUGGCGGCGUGCCUAAUACAUGCGAGUCGAGCGAACGGACGAGAAGCUUGCUUCUCUGAUGUUAGCGGCGGACGGGUGAGUAACACGUGGAUAACCUACCUAUAGGACUGGGAUAACUUCGGGAAACCGGAGCUAAUACCGGAUAAUAUUUUGAACCGCAUGGUUCAAAAGUGAAAGACGGUCUUGCUGUCACUUAUAGAUGGAUCCGCGCUGCAUUAGCUAGUUGGUAAGGUAACGGCUUACCAAGGCAACGAUGCAUAGCCGACCUGAGAGGGUGAUCGGCCACACUGGAACUGAGACACGGUCCAGACUCCUACGGGAGGCAGCAGUAGGGAAUCUUCCGCAAUGGGCGAAAGCCUGACGGAGCAACGCCGCGUGAGUGAUGAAGGUCUUCGGAUCGUAAAACUCUGUUAUUAGGGAAGAACAUAUGUGUAAGUAACUGUGCACAUCUUGACGGUACCUAAUCAGAAAGCCACGGCUAACUACGUG
rnacentral:rRNA from 1 species